rnacentral:rRNA from 1 species
UUGACCUCAAAUCAGGUAGGACUACCCGCUGAACUUAAGCAUAUCAAUAAGCGGAGGAAAAGAAACUAACAAGGAUUCCCCUAGUAACUGCGAGUGAAGCGGGAAAAGCUCAAAUUUAAAAUCUGGCGGUCCUGUGGCCG